UUUGUGCAUUUCGAAGUAGGAUUAGGCGAAUCUCUGCGUUUUGUGCAUUUCGAGGUAGGAUUAGGCGAAUCUCUACGUUUUGUGCGUUUGGGAUUAGGAUGAGGCGAAUCUCUGCGUUUUGUGCAUUUGGGCUUAUGAUUAGGCGAAUACGUUUUUGUGCAUUUCGAGGUAGGAUUAGGCGAAUCUCUGUGUUUUUUUUUGCAUUUGGGAUCAUUAUUAGGAGAAUCUCUACGUUUUGUGCAUUUGGGCUUAUGAUUAGGCGAAUCUCUGUGUUUUUUUUUUGCAUUUGGGAUCAUUAUUAGGAGAAUCUCUACGUUUUUGUGCAUUUCGAGGUAGGAUGAGGCGAAUCUCUACGUUUUGUGCAUUUCGAAGUAGGAUGAGGCGAAUCUCUACGUUUUGUGCAUUUGGGAUUAGGC
rnacentral:lncRNA from 1 species